AGGGGGGGGGCCCAAAUCAUGCAAAGUCGAACGAACUCUGGUAUUGGAUUGGUGCUUGCAUCAUGAUUUACAUUUGAGUGAGUGGCGAACUGGUGAGUAACACGUGGGAAACCUGCCCAGAAGCGGGGGAUAACACCUGGAAACAGAUGCUAAUACCGCAUAACAACUUGGACCGCAUGGUCCGAGUUUGAAAGAUGGCUUCGGCUAUCACUUUUGGAUGGUCCCGCGGCGUAUUAGCUAGAUGGUGGGGUAACGGCUCACCAUGGCAAUGAUACGUAGCCGACCUGAGAGGGUAAUCGGCCACAUUGGGACUGAGACACGGCCCAAACUCCUACGGGAGGCAGCAGUAGGGAAUCUUCCACAAUGGACGAAAGUCUGAUGGAGCAACGCCGCGUGAGUGAAGAAGGGUUUCGGCUCGUAAAACUCUGUUGUUAAAGAAGAACAUAUCUGAGAGUAACUGUUCGGUAUUGACGGUAUUUAACCAGAAAGCCACGGCUAACUACGUGCCACAGCCGCGGUAAUACGUAAGUGGCAAGCGUUGUCCGGAUUUUAUUGGGCGUAAAGCGAGCGCAGGCGGGUUUUUUAAGUCUGAUGUGGAAACCCCUUCGGCUCAACCGAAGGAAGUGCUCGGAAAACUGGGAAACCUGGAGUGCCAGAAGAAGGACAGGGGAACCUCCAUGUGUAGCGGUGAAAAUGCGGUAGAUAUAUGGAAGAACACCAGUGGCGAAGGCGGCUGGUCUGGUCUGUACUGACGUGAGGCUCGAAAGUAUGGGUAGCAAACAGGAAUUAGAUACCCUGGUAGUCCAUACCGUAAACGAUGAAUGCUAAGUGUUGGAGGGUUUCCGCCCUUCAGUGCUGCAGCUAACGCAUUAAAGCAUUCCGCCUGGGGAGUACGGCCGCAAGGCUGAAACUCAAAGGGAAUUGACGGGGGCCCCGCACAAGCGGUGGAGCAUGUGGUUUAAUUCGAAGCUACGCGAAGAACCUUACCAGGUCUUGACAUACUAUGCAAAUCUAAGAGAUUAGACGUUCCCUUCGGGGACAUGGAUACAGGUGGUGCAUGGUUGUCGUCAGCUCGUGUCGUGAGAUGUUGGGUUAAGUCCCGCAACGAGCGCAACCCUUAUUAUCAGUUGCCAGCAUUAAGUUGGGCACUCUGGUGAGACUGCCGGUGACAAACCGGAGGAAGGUGGGGAUGACGUCAAAUCAUCAUGCCCCUUAUGACCUGGGCUACACACGUGCUACAAUGGAUGGUACAACGAGUUGCGAACUCGCGAGAGUAAGCUAAUCUCUUAAAGCCAUUCUCAGUUCGGAUUGUAGGCUGCAACUCGCCUACAUGAAGUCGGAAUCGCUAGUAAUCGCGGAUCAGCAUGCCGCGGUGAAUACGUUCCCGGGCCUUGUACACACCGCCCGUCACACCAUGAGAGUUUGUAACACCCAAAGUCGGUGGGGUAACCCUUUUUUAGGGAAAC
rnacentral:rRNA from 1 species